rnacentral:rRNA from 1 species
UCAGUCGCGCGGUCAGCAAUGGCAGCGGCGGACGGGUGAGUAACGCGUAGGAAUGUGUCCAGAGGUGGGGGACAACCCCGGGAAACUGGGGCUAAUACCGCAUAUGUCCUGAGGGACAAAGCAGUAAUGCGCCUUUGGAGCAGCCUGCGUCCGAUUAGGUAGUUGGUGGGGUAAUGGCCUACCAAGCCUGCGAUCGGUAGCUGGUCUGAGAGGACGAUCAGCCACACUGGGACUGAGACACGGCCCAGACUCCUACGGGAGGCAGCAGUGGGGAAUAUUGGACAAUGGGGGCAACCCUGAUCCAGCAAUGCCGCGUGUGUGAAGAAGGUCUUCGGAUCGUAAAGCACUUUCGGCGGGGACGAUGAUGACGGUACCCGCAGAAGAAGCCCCGGCUAACUUCG